rnacentral:rRNA from 1 species
UACGAAGGGGGCUAGCGUUGCUCGGAAUCACUGGGCGUAAAGGGUGCGUAGGCGGGGCUUUAAGUCAGGGGUGAAAUCCUGGAGCUCAACUCCAGAACUGCCUUUGAUACUGAAGGUCUUGAGUUCGGGAGAGGUGAGUGGAACUGCGAGUGUAGAGGUGAAAUUCGUAGAUAUUCGCAAGAACACCAGUGGCGAAGGCGGCUCACUGGCCCGAUACUGAUGCUGAGGCACGAAAGCGUGGGGAGCAAACAGG